rnacentral:tRNA from 1 species
GUGACAGACAGCAUAGUGGUCAAAGCAUCAGCUUUGGAGACAGAAGACCUGGAUUCAAAUCCCAGCUCUCUCA